GGGAGAAGGACGAGGAGGGAUGGGAGGCUGUGUGAUUUCCUGAAAUGACUCAUCUAAGGAGCGAGACACUGGCUUCUAACUGACUCUGUAAGUUGAGUGAGUCCUGGAAUGACAGCCAUGGAGUGAGGCACUGGAACGUGACUGACUCUGUAAG